GCCAGAUGCAGUGGUGUGCACCUAUAGUCCCAGCUAAUUGGGAGGCUGAGACAGGAGGAUCGCUUGAGUCCAGGAGAUCUAGGCUGUAGUGCACUAUACUGAUUGGGUGUCUGCACUAAGUAUGGUAGCAAUAUGGUGACCUCCUGGGAACAGGGGGCCUCCAGGUUGCCUAAGGAGGAGUGAACUGUCCCAGGUCAGAAACAGAGCAGGUCAAAACUUCCGUGAUGAUCAGUAGUGGGACGGCACCUGUGAAUAGCCACUGCACUCCAGCCUGGGCAACAUAGCAAGACCCUGUCUAAA
rfam:Otolemur garnettii contig170647, whole genome shotgun sequence.